UACAGAGGUCUCAAGCGUUGUUCGGAUUCAUUGGGCGUAAAGGGUGCGUAGGCGGCGCGGUAAGUCGGGUGUGAAAUCUCGGGGCUUAACUCCGAAACUGCAUUCGAUACUGCCGUGCUUGAGGACUGGAGAGGAGACUGGAAUUUACGGUGUAGCGGUGAAAUGCGUAGAUAUCGUAAGGAAGACCAGUGGCGAAGGCGGGUCUCGUGGACAGUUCCUGACGCUGAGGCACGAAGGUCAGGGGAGCAAACGGG
rnacentral:rRNA from 1 species